UUGAACGCUGGCGGCAGGCCUAACACAUGCAAGUCGAGCGGAUGAAGGGAGCUUGCUCCUGGAUUCAGCAGCGGACGGGUGAGUAAUGCCUAGGAAUCUGCCUGGUAGUGGGGGAUAACGUCCGGAAACGGGCGCUAAUACCGCAUACGUCCUGAGGGAGAAAGUGGGGGAUCUUCGGACCUCACGCUAUCAGAUGAGCCUAGGUCGGAUUAGCUAGUUGGUGGGGUAAAGGCCUACCAAGGCGACGAUCCGUAACUGGUCUGAGAGGAUGAUCAGUCACACUGGAACUGAGACACGGUCCAGACUCCUACGGGAGGCAGCAGUGGGGAAUAUUGGACAAUGGGCGAAAGCCUGAUCCAGCCAUGCCGCGUGUGUGAAGAAGGUCUUCGGAUUGUAAAGCACUUUAAGUUGGGAGGAAGGGCAGUAAGUUAAUACCUUGCUGUUUUGACGUUACCAACAGAAUAAGCACCGGCUAACUUCGUG
rnacentral:rRNA from 1 species